AUCGGGCUGGGAGACAGUGUCAGGUGGGCAGUUUGACUGGGGCGGUCGCCUCCUAAAGAGUAACGGAGGCGCCCAAAGGUUCCCUCAGAAUGGUUGGAAAUCAUUCGUAGAGUGUAAAGGCACAAGGGAGCUUGACUGCGAGACCUACAAGUCGAGCAGGGACGAAAGUCGGGCUUAGUGAUCCGGUGGUUCCGCAUGGAAGGGCCAUCGCUCAACGGAUAAAAGCUACCCCGGGGAUAACAGGCUUAUCUCCCCCAAGAGUCCACAUCGACGGGGAGGUUUGGCACCUCGAUGUCGGCUCAUCGCAUCCUGGGGCUGUAGUCGGUCCCAAGGGUUGGGCUGUUCGCCCAUUAAAGCGGUACGCGAGCUGGGUUCAGAACGUCGUGAGACAGUUCGGUCCCUAUCCGUCGUGGGCGUAGGAAAUUUGAGAGGAGCUGUCCUUAGUACGAGAGGACCGGGAUGGACACACCGCUGGUGUACCAGUUGUCUUGCCAAAGGCAUCGCUGGGUAGCUAUGUGUGGACGGGAUAAGUGCUGAAAGCAUCUAAGCAUGAAGCCCCCCUCAAGAUGAGAUUUCCCAUAGCGCAAGCUAGUAAGAUCCCUGAAAGAUGAUCAGGUUGAUAGGUCAGAGGUGGAAGCACGG
rnacentral:rRNA from 1 species